rnacentral:lncRNA from 1 species
GCUGCACCUGUGGCAUAUGGAAGUACCCAGGCUAGGGGUUGAAUCGGAGCUGCAGCUGCCAGCCUGCCAUGAGGGAUCUGAGCCUCGUCUGUGACCUACAUCACAGCUCAUGGUAAUGGCCGGAUACUUAAUCCACUGAGGGAGGCCAGGGAUCGAACCCACUUCUUCAUGGCUACUAGUUGGGUUCGUUACUGAGCCACAAUGGGAACUCCUGGAAUUGGGUUUUGGGGGCCAAGGGGACCAGGGAGGAGAGCCACUGGAAAGGACAGAGGCACAAUUGUUCAGGGGAAAAGAUGGGCGGGGGCGCGGAGAAUGUUUUGUGAAAGUGGCCACCCUCAUGGAAGCCUUAAAGGUGGGUGGGGUGGGGCAAGAGGAGACUGGUCUGUCCUGCUCAGGCCUGGGGACCCUGGAACCCUGGUGAGGGCUUUGGAGCUGGCCAGGUGCCCAGGGGCCACCUCCCACCUCCAUUACCCUCAGAACGGAGAAGCCAAGAAAGGGAACCCAGCAAGGUACUCCCGUUUCAGUCUCUGGCAGGACGGUCCUGCGUAGAAUGUUCCUAUGGGGUAAAGGCGUUAUUACUUCUCUCCUCCUGGCCCAGGGCUUGAUGGCUGAGCAAACGCCUAUGCUUUAUAAGACUGAUGUGCUACCCUUUUUUUUUUUUUUCCCACUUUUGGCCGCCCCUGUGGCAUAUAGAGCUCCUGGGCCAGGGAUCAGACCUCAACCACAUUCAAGACCUAAGACUUAGCUGUGGCAAUGCUAGAUCCUUAACCCACUGUGCCGGGCUGGGGAUAGAACCCACGUCCCAGUGCUGCCAAGAUGCUGCCAAUCCCAUUGCACCACAGUGGGAGCUCCAUACCUGCUGCUUUAUGUAGUUGAUGUGGGGGGAGAAUGGAGCGGGUGGUCAAGCCCUUUGCUCCUUGAAAGGUCGAGCUUCUGGACUGGGACCAGGUCCAGCUAAUCCUGGGAUGGGCGCCUCCUCCUCCCUGCUCAGUCCUCCAGGCUGAAAACAACAGCCACCCCCAGGCACUGGACUGGGUGCUUGUUACAGCAACCCUGUGAGAUGGGAUCAUGAUAAACAUAUCACAGGGGAGGAAACUGAGGCUUCAGAGGUUAGGUGAAGAGUCCAGACUUAGCUAGAAAGGGGAGCAGUUGGACUUUAAAUGGUAAGAUACUGUUAAGGGAAAAAAGGUAGAACAUUUUUGGGUUUACGGUCUUUGGAGUUUAAAAAAAAAAAAAGAAAAAAUUUCAAAUCCAAUUUUGGACUUGCCAAGCACUUUGCAUGUAUUAUUUCUGUUUGUCUUUUCAAACAAUGCUAUAAAGUAUUCUGAUUCCUAUUUUAUGAAGGGGGAAAAAAGGGGGCUCAGGAAGGGGAAGGUUUACGUGGAAAUCUACCCAGGUAGCACAUCAUGGAGCUGGGCUCAGAAUCCAGUCUGGCUAUUCCCAGGGAGGAUUUUUGGAAUCUUGCUUCCUAGAAUCGACUCUCCCCUGGGCCAGGGAUUCUGUCUUUAGCUGCCUCAUAUUUUCAUUAAACCCGCCUCGGGUGCCCAGGCCCAACUCAGAAAGAUUUUGUGGGAAAGGCUGCCACCUUGUGGCCAAAGAGCAAGCCCACCAUUUAGCAGCUGGCUAUGACCUGGAAAGGCAGGGCUUUGGGAACAGGUGAAGUUGGUCUCCGAAGAGAGACUUCCGCUGGUGCAGACUUGCUUCUGGAAGGCUUCUCCACAGUCAGAGGGCCAGCUCCGGCAUCGCAGGGGUGGGGACUUCAGGUUCCCCAGCUGCUAAGGGUGGAAAGUGGACCUUGGCUGUGGGCACAGUGGACCGCAACUUUUCUGCAAAGUCCCGUUCGGGGAAUUCUGGAAGGUGAGCUGAGCUAAGACGUCUCCUUCAGCCCUUCUCCUGAGGUUUUGGUCCUUUUACCAGUGUGGGGGUGGGGAGAGGGGCUGUUCGCGUAAACCGACACUUCCUCUGCAGAGACGAACCCCCACUCCCGGAGGUUCUGGGGCUGUAUCCUCCCUGUGUUCUACCCUGUGUGGACACUGUCCUCAACCCUGCGGGAGUUACAGAACCUCGUCCUCACUCCUAAACCUGCUCCUGCGGGAGCUCUCCCUCUGUCCUCUUCCAGGCUGCUCCAUGUGGCUGUCACCAUCUCCCAGGCUCUGUUCUUCUGCUCCUCUGCUCUCUCCACUUUGUUCAUCAAAGGAGUGCCUAGUCAUAUUUCUCCCCAGGUACACCCGCGGGGUGCAGGAGGACGCCCACCUUCUUAGCCUCGUUUUCCUUCCAUACUGACAUCGAAAUCUCAGGCCAUGUGCCUCUUGUUAGGCUCCAAUCAGUGCUUCUCAGCUCGGGCUGCACAUUCAAAUCACCUGGGGGUGGGGCUUUGCAACCUCCCUCUGCCAGGCCACGCCCCCUCGAGAUCCUGAUGUAAUUGGCCUGGGCCCUGGAGGUCCUGCGUGCGUCCAGAAAACUCCGCAGGUGCGCAGCCUUGCUCCAGCUUUUCUGAGCACCUCCCCCUGCCCCAUCUUGCUUGCGGAUUUCUGCUCACCUCCUUCCAGGCAGCCCUCUCGCCUUCUCUCCCCUUGUUCUCGUCCCUGUGAGAAGACGCUCUCAGACUGGUGGACAGAACUGGUGGUCCUCUGCCCCGCCUUGACAGUUUUGUGCAUCACUUCUGCGCGGGUGCGGAGCCCGCCGUGCUCUCCUACGGAUCACCUGAUGGUUCUCUUGUUUUCGACUGAGGUUUUGGACCAUGCUUUAUUUCUCCGUGUGUUCCCAGCUUCGGAAGUUGUCCGGGACAACGCUGUGUUUGGUCACUGGGACUGCUGAUGGAGGACUCAACGGCUUUCUUAGAUAGCCAGGCUUCACGUUGCUGAGAUUUCUGACCUUCAGAAGGAUGUCACCCUUUCCGAAGAUCCCUUGAGGCCGAGAGCAGCGCUCUCCCACCAAGGUACCUGUUCCUGGGCCGGGAGAGGGGAGGGGCCGCGCGGAUGGGUUAAGGAACUGGCAUCGCCAUAGCUGUGGUGUAGGUUGCAACUCCAGCUUGGAUUCGACCCCUGGCCUGGGAACUUGCAUAUGCCGCGGGGUGGCCAAAAAAGGAAAAAACCCAAAAAACAGACCCACAUUGGGUGGGGAUUUGUCAUGCGUUGGUGAUAACAUGUAAUAUCUUUAAUUGUCCUAGCAGCCCUCUUGUUAGCAGUUUUUUACGGGUGAGGAAACUGAGGCUCAUAGGUGAUGGGGUAUGUGGCUGGGACUCCACAGUAUCCUGGCUUCUCUUCCUAGACUUACAGCAGGCUACAUAUUCGAGUCUCUCUUGCAGGAGGUGGGUUCAUGGACCCCUCCCUCCUCCCCAGGGAAUGUGAGUGGACGUGAUUGUAUUAACUGCGGCGUGGCCCUUUAAAAAUAAAAUAGUUACACGUGUGAUCUUGGCGCUCCUUAUCCAUCAACCAGUUGAAGGGAGAGGGCUUCCAAGAUGCUGAGGACCUAGAAGAAGGCAGAGUUACAAGAUGCGAGGAGCCUGGGGCCCUGUGCUGGAGCAGAGCUGUUCCCUUGCUGACUGCUGUGUGAGUGACGAGUCAGCUCGUUCCGUGUUAACUUAGGUUGGGUUUCUCUCUUAAACCGGCGAAUGCCAUUUACCCUAAUUAUACAUGGAAACUUCGCAAGUCCUGUUUGGUGAGCAGCUGAGUUAGGAUUGUUCUUGUCAAGCUGUCGCCAGGGUGCACAAUCUCAUCCCCUAAAAGGCCUUUCCAGAAUCGUCUAUCAUUGUGCGACUCUUUACGGAAGAGGUCAAACAUUUCAUCCUGGUCAUUCUAGCACCGGCUCGAGGAAAGGCAAGAGAGGACUGUUUGUUUGUGUGUUUUAACCCAAGACGGUCUCCGUCUCCCAUAGUUUGAGGCAGGUGUGGGUGUGAUGGAGGGCUGGGCUGGCCUGAGUGUCACAGGCUACUCAUGGAUCAUUCAAAGAAGGUUGGUAUAAAGAGAGUUUCACAUUCAAGGGAAAUGCUGGUGACACGUGAUUCCCCGUGUACUCCGCCGCCCCUUUGGGCCUCCCUGCCACCGGAUAGGCUGAGUCAGCAAAAGCUCUGGGCUGGGCAAGCAUCUCUCUGCCUUCUUGCCUGAGAGCCACUUUCUGCCUGGGUUGGUUGGUGGCACUGGCUGCACCUACCCCAGGGGGACAUAGGACACAAUAGUUGGUUCCCAUUUGGCUCCCACCAGAUCAGGAUUCCAGCUGGCCUCAUGACCAGGGGGACAUUGAUCUGUGAGCACAUAUCCAAGGGGCCCUGACCCCAUCGAGUCAAACAAGGCUGCUGAACCAAAGCACCUGGGAGCUGUGUCUGCUUUCUGCCCUCCUGAAGGGGUAUGGCCCCAACCUCCUCCAGAAAACAGGGGUGUUCACACAGGCUUCUGAGAAGGAUGUUCUUUGGAGUAUUUAGGUUCUCCUGUUUGCUUGCUCUGCUACUGGGGCCCUCCAGGUCCAAUACUGGGUGUACAGAAGGCUAGCCUGGCCUCUCUCCCUGCCUCCCUCCCCCUGGAAGGCCAGUCUGGUCAGGCUGGAGGACUGGAGGCAGCAGUGAUUCAGAGCACUUGCACGGUCCUGGGGUGAUGUGCCACCCAGACCUUGCGGGAGGUUUUGAAAUUGACCACAGCCCAGCUUGAAUCAUUCUACCACUUCCCGGCUGGGUGACAAGUGGCCUCAGUUUCUCCACCUGCAAAGUGAAUGAUACCAGGAGCUUGUUCUUGAAAUCCAUCCCUGAGAUACACUUCCAUUUCUUUUUUGGCCACCAGCCUCAUCAACUCACACAGUUGACCACAUCAGCUCCCUACCUGUUCGCUGCAUGGUAUCCAGAGCACUUGUUAAGAAAUUAAAACGGAUUCCCUCUCGUUUCUAAUUUAAAAAAAAUCCAGUCUUUAUGGAGUUCCCUUGUGGUUCAGCAGGUUAAGGAUCUGGCAUUGUCACUGCUGUGGUGCAUGUUCAAUUCCUGGCCCUGGGAACUUCUGCAUGCCAUGGGUGCAGCCAAAAAAAAAAAAAAAAAAUCCAGUCUUUAAUCAGCUCGUUUUCUGAAACUCGCCAACUCUUCUGUUUUCCAGCAUAUGUGACCACAGUGCCUU